rnacentral:rRNA from 1 species
GACGAACGCUGGCGGCGUGCUUAACACAUGCAAGUCGAACGGAAAGGCCCUGCUUUUGUGGGGUGCUCGAGUGGCGAACGGGUGAGUAACACGUGAGUAACCUGCCAUUGACUUUGGGAUAACUUCAGGAAACUGGGGCUAAUACCGGCUAGGAGCUCCUGCUGCAUGGUGGGGGUUGGAAAGUUUCGGCGGUUGGGGAUGGACUCGCGGCGUAUCAGCUUGUUGGUGGGGUAGUGGCUUACCAAGGCUUUGACGGGUAGCCGGCCUGAGAGGGUGACCGGCCACAUUGGGACUGAGAUACGGCCCAGACUCCUACGGGAGGGAGCAGUGGGGAAUAUUGCACUAUGGGCGGAAGCCUGAUGCAGCAACGCCGCGUGCGGGAUGACGGCCAUCGGUUUGUAAACCGCUUUCGCCUGUGACGAAGCGUGAGUGACGGUAAUGGGUAAAGAAGCACCGGCUAACUACGUG